rnacentral:rRNA from 1 species
CCUACGGGAGGCAGCAGUGGGGAAUAUUGGGCAAUGGGCGAAAGCCUGACCCAGCAACGCCGCGUGAAGGAAGAAGGCCUUCGGGUUGUAAACUUCUUUUAUCAAGGACGAAGAAGUGACGGUACUUGAUGAAUAAGCCACGGCUAACUACGUGCCAGCAGCCGCGGUAAU